rnacentral:rRNA from 1 species
AAACCCAAUGUGAACGUUACCAAACUGUUGCCUCGGCGGGAUCUCUGCCCCGGGUGCGUCGCAGCCCCGGACCAAGGCGCCCGCCGGAGGACCAACCUAAAACUCUUAUUGUAUACCCCUCGCGGGUUUUUUUAUAAUCUGAGCCUUCUCGGCGCCUCUCGUAGGCGUUUCGAAAAUGAAUCAAAACUUUCAACAACGGAUCUCUUGGUUCUGGCAUCGAUGAAGAACGCAGCGAAAUGCGAUAAGUAAUGUGAAUUGCAGAAUUCAGUGAAUCAUCGAAUCUUUGAACGCACAUUGCGCCCGCCAGUAUUCUGGCGGGCAUGCCUGUCCGAGCGUCAUUUCAACCCUCGAACCCCUCCGGGGGGUCGGCGUUGGGGAUCGGCCUCCCUCACCGGGGGCCGUCUCCGAAAUACAGUGGCGGUCUCGCCGCAGCCUCUCCUGCGCAGUAGUUUGCACACUCGCAUCGGGAGCGCGGCGCGUCCACAGCCGUUAAACACCCCAAAUUUCUGAAAUGUUGACCUCGGAUCAGGUAGGAAUACCCGCUGAACUUAAGCAUAUCAAUAAGCGGAGGAAAAGA